AAAUAUUUACCAAGCGCCCACCGGGUGCCCAGUACCGGAACGAUAGCCGAGGGGAUGCGGAGGGAGGAAUCCGUGCCGGCCCUGCCCUCCUGGGACUCGCAGCUGGGACAAGGAAGGAGAUCUGAGCCGACCCACGGAGUAGGGCUGCGGUGGGAAAAGGAAAGUUGGGGGGAAGCGCGGGAAUAGGAGCUGGCUACUAGGGAGCGGCGACCCUUGGCCCCGACUCGUCACUUGGUUCUCCCAUCACUCCCCCUACUCCCGCCACUCGACCCCUCCACAGCUCCCCAACAUAACUUGGCGCUGGCCAUUCUCACGGCCUGGAACUCUCCGGGUCCCCUCCCCCGCCCAGGUGCCACUUCCUGCAGGAGACCUUUUCAGACCAGCAGAGCUAAGGUGGCUUCCUCCCCUCACCCCACGUACACUUGUUUUAUUUUCUGUUAUUUCUCUCACUGUCUGGAAUGACGUCUUUGUCCUCCUGUCGCCCUCACUAGAAACCCAGGAGCUACCCAGUGAUCUUGGUAGCUCCUGUGCUCGAGGUGCCUUGAACCUGGGAGCCACUGUGGCCACACAAUCCAUAUCCAUUGAGUGCAUAAGAGAAAUCUUUGUCCCCCACGCCCUGCCGGGCUUUGAGACCAUUCCACCCACCCCUCAACCUGAGACAGGUCCCCCAGCCCACCCUCUCAGUCCGCCCCUUACCCUGCCUGAGCACAGCUUUUGCAGGUAGGGCCCCCCAGGGGCUGAGCCCAGAGACCUCCCUCCUCUUCCCUCUAAUCUUCUGUCCAUCACAAAGGACAAUUCGCCUACCCCACCACGCAGACCCCCUCACAACUCAGAACUGAAGAUCUCUGCUGUAGGGGACUUUGAGGGCAUCACCACUCCAUGGAGCUUGUUUCCUGGUCUGUAAGACUGAACCUCGCCCCAGGUUUGUCCUUGUGGCUCCCUCCCCAGAAGCUGGGCUUCCAUGGAGAAUCCUGGAGCAGGCUGACAUGAUCAGUGAGGGACUGAGCUUGGGAAAGGGGCUUUUGUUCGGGGACACUCUGGCUAGGCCUUUCUUGGGGACUGGAG
rnacentral:lncRNA from 1 species